GGGUAAGUCUUAUACGACCAGCUCCUGCCGAACUCCCCCAGGAUUGGAAGAUAGCAAGGGUAGGUAGUUGUAGCGGUGCGAUAUAAGGGGCUUGCCCCUU
rnacentral:SRP_RNA from 1 species